GACGAACCGUCCAAACGUUAUUCGGAAUCAUUGGGCUUAAAGGGUGCGUAGGCGGUGCUGCAAGUUGGAUGUGAAAUCCCUCAGCUUAACUGAGGAAUUGCGUCCAAAACUGCAGUGCUCGAGGGAGACAGGGGUCAGUGGAACUCACGGUGGAGCGGUGAAAUGCGUUGAUAUCGCGAGGAACACCAGUGGCGAAGGCGACUGACUGGGUCUCUUCUGACGCUGAGGCACGAAAGCUAGGGGAGCGAACGGG
rnacentral:misc_RNA from 1 species